UAAUCUCUCGUUUUAAUCUCUAGAGAGGAAGACUUGGAAGAUUCUCCUUUUUCAGUUUUGGCUUCGAACUUAAAUGAAGAAGUUACAAAGUUCAGAAGAAGGUCCUGGCUGGAGCUAUGGAAGAGGUGAUUAAUGUUUCAUCACCCAACACCCCCGGGCUACGUAUGCUUCAAGGAAGAAAGCAAUUAAAGGUCCUUGUGAAGAAGGUACAAGCUGCUCGUGAUGAAAUGCAAUGGGGUGAAGAGGGCCCUCCUCCAUUGCUCGUGAAAAUUGCUCCAGAUUUGUCUAAAGAAGAUCUCGAAGAUAUUGCUGUAGUAUGUAUAUAUAUGCUUGUAAUUGAUUACUUCUUUUCUCCUUAAGAUGGUGCUCUCAUGGUUUUCUUCUGUAUGGAUAUAGGUGGCCUUGCCCUUUGCUUGGACGGAUUGGUGGCAGGGUUGCUUCAUUUCUUCUGAGGUUGCUGCAUUGGCUUUGAGGGAAUGAAAAGCUUGAUAGAAACAUAAAGACACACGGCUCUUCUUCAUUAAUGAGGUAAAUUUCGUCUAGUUUUUUCUUGAUUUAUUGGCACUUGUACAAGUUUAUGAUUUCCAAUAUUGGUGGGUUUUUUUGCCUAAAUUUCUGUGAUAAAAGUUGGAACACUUGUAUGUGUUGAUACUACUUCUAAGUUU